rnacentral:tRNA from 1 species
GUCCCCGUAGCUCAAUGGAUAGAGUGCUUGGCUUCGAACCAAGAGGUUAGGGGUUCAAAUCCUCUCGGGGACG